UGGCUCAGCUGGAAGAGCGUGGCACUUGCAACGCCAGGGUUAUGGGUUCGAUUCUCAU
rnacentral:tRNA from 1 species